rnacentral:piRNA from 1 species
GGGACUGGAGAGAUGGCUCUGAG